rnacentral:rRNA from 1 species
GUGUCAGCAGCCGCGGUAAGACAGAGGUGCCAAGCGUUAGGCGGAAUCACUGGGCUUAAAGCGUGUGUAGGCGGAAUGGUAAGUACCUUGUGAAAUCCCACGGCUCAACCGUGGAACUGCUUGGUAUACUGCUUUUCUUGAGCCACUUAGGGGCAACCGGAACAAACGGUGGAGCGGUGAAAUGCGUAGAUAUCGUUUGGAACGCCAAUGGUGAAAACAGGUUGCUGGGAGUGUGCUGACGCUGAGACACGAAAGCCAGGGGAGCAAACGGGAUUAGAAACCCCGGUAGUCC